rnacentral:tRNA from 1 species
GGCCCUGUCGUCUAAUUGGUUAGGACACGAGAUUUUCAAUCUCGCAAUACGGGAUCGUUCCCCGUCGGGGCUG